rnacentral:rRNA from 1 species
AGCAGUAGCCGCGGGAAUACGUAGGUGGCAAGCGUUGUCCGGAAUUAUUGGGCGUAAAGGGCUCGCAGGCGGUUUCUUAAGUCUGAUGUGAAAGCCCCCGGCUCAACCGGGGAGGGUCAUUGGAAACUGGGAAACUUGAGUGCAGAAGAGGAGAGUGGAAUUCCACGUGUAGCGGUGAAAUGCGUAGAGAUUAGGAGGAACACCAGUGGCGAAAGCGGCUCUCUGGUCUGUAACUGACGCUGAGGCUCGAAAGCGUGGGGAGCGAACAGGAUUAGAUACCCCAGUAGUCCCUGUCUCUUAUAC